rnacentral:rRNA from 1 species
ACAUGCAAGUCGAGCGGACAGAAGGGAGCUUGCUCCCGGAUGUUAGCGGCGGACGGGUGAGUAACACGUGGGUAACCUGCCUGUAAGACUGGGAUAACUCCGGGAAACCGGAGCUAAUACCGGAUAGUUCCUUGAACCGCAUGGUUCAAGGAUGAAAGACGGUUUCGGCUGUCACUUACAGAUGGACCCGCGGCGCAUUAGCUAGUUGGUGGGGUAAUGGCUCACCAAGGCGACGAUGCGUAGCCGACCUGAGAGGGUGAUCGGCCACACUGGGACUGAGACACGGCCCAGACUCCUACGGGAGGCAGCAGUAGGGAAUCUUCCGCAAUGGACGAAAGUCUGACGGAGCAACGCCGCGUGAGUGAUGAAGGUUUUCGGAUCGUAAAGCUCUGUUGUUAGGGAAGAACAAGUGCGAGAGUAACUGCUCGCACCUUGACGGUACCUAACCAGAAAGCCACGGCUAACUACGUGCCAGCAGCCGCGGUAAUACGUAGGUGGCAAGCGUUGUCCGGAAUUAUUGGGCGUAAAGGGCUCGCAGGCGGUUUCUUAAGUCUGAUGUGAAAGCCCCCGGCUCAACCGGGGAGGGUCAUUGGAAACUGGGAAACUUGAGUGCAGAAGAGGAGAGUGGAAUUCCACGUGUAGCGGUGAAAUGCGUAGAGAUGUGGAGGAACACCAGUGGCGAAGGCGACUCUCUGGUCUGUAACUGACGCUGA